rnacentral:rRNA from 1 species
GACCCGGUGGUUAUUGCGAGGGGUCCGCACCCGUUCCCAUCCCGAACACGGCCGUUAAGUCCCUCAGCGCCGAUGGUACUCCGUCUCAAGACGUGGGAGAGUAGGUCGCUGCCGGGUC